rnacentral:rRNA from 1 species
AUUGAACGCUGGCGGCAUGCCUUACACAUGCAAGUCGAACGGCAGCGGGGGAGAAGCUUGCUUUUCCUGCCGGCGAGUGGCGAACGGGUGAGUAAUACAUCGGAACGUGCCCUGUAGUGGGGGAUAACUAGUCGAAAGAUUAGCUAAUACCGCAUACGACCUGAGGGUGAAAGUGGGGGACCGCAAGGCCUCAUGCUAUAGGAGCGGCCGAUGUCUGAUUAGCUAGUUGGUGGGGUAAAGGCCUACCACGGCGACGAUCAGUAGCUGGUCUGAGAGGAGGAUCAGCCACACUGGGACGGAGACAAGGCCCAGACUCCUACGGGAGGCAGCAGUGGGGAAUUUUGGACAAUGGGCGAAAGCCUGAUCCAGCAAUGCCGCGUGUGUGAAGAAGGCCUUCGGGUUGUAAAGCACUUUUGUCCGGAAAGAAAUGGCUCUGGUUAAUACCUGGGGUCGAUGACGGUACCGGAAGAAUAAGGACCGGCUAACUACGUGCCAGCCACCGCAGUAAGAC